UGGGGAAUCUUGCGCAAUGCGCGAAAGCGUGACGCAGCAACGCCGCGUGGGGGAAGACGGCCUUCGGGUUGUAAACCCCUUUCAGGAGGGACGAAGGUCACACGGUUAAUAGCCGGCGUGACUGACGGUACCUCCAGAAGAAGCCCCGGCUAACUACGUGCCAGCAGCCGCGGUAAUACGUAGGGGGCAAGCGUUGUCCGGAAUUAUUGGGCGUAAAGAGCGCGUAGGCGGUCCGAUAAGUCGGCUGUGAAAGUCAAGGGCUCAACCCUUGAAAGCCGGCCGAUACUGUCGGACUAGAGUCCGGAAGAGGCGAGUGGAAUUCCCGGUGUAGCGGUGAAAUGCGCAGAUAUCGGGAGGAACACCAAUGGCGAAGGCAGCUCGCUGGGACGGUACUGACGCUGAGGCGCGAAAGCGUGGGGAGCAAACAGGAUUAGAUACCCCCGUAGUCC
rnacentral:rRNA from 1 species